AGACAGCAAAGGCAAUACAGUCUCAAGGAGGUGGCAGGGAGCCUUUCCUGGGCAACCUGACACAGGCCAAUGACUGUGUCCUGACCUUUUCUUGGAAAGAAGCUGUGUUUGGUCCUGCUGGGGAAACGGCUUCACAGCAUCCUGGAGGUAAAAAGAUGUGAGUACAGUAUCCUCUGGUCACUCCCAGGGGAUCCUUCCUAGUGUGUGCGUCUCUUGUCCUAUGAUCCUCUUAUGGUGUAAUGGAGCAGGACCCAGAGCGCUCACCUUUGCCGUGAUGGCUCCAGAAUGUUUGCAUGUCUGCAAUGGUCCAGGAGACCAAGGCUGCUGUAGCAGUAACCCCGAGUCUCCCAGAAUACCCUGCAACCCUCCCAGAACACCCUGCAAGCCUCCCUGACUACUCUGUCAGAUUCACUGAACACCCUCUGGGCCUCUGGGAACCCAUGAGCACAGUGAGCCUGC
rnacentral:lncRNA from 1 species